GGCUAUAGGAAAUUGUUAGUGGCAGACGGGUGAGUAAUGCGUAGGAAUCUACCUAGUAGUACGGAAUAGCCAUUAGAAAUGGUGGGUAAUACUGUAUAAUCCCCGAGGGGGAAAGAUUUAUCGCUAUUAGAUGAGCCUACGUUAGAUUAGCUAGUUGGUGAGGUAAUGGCUUACCAAGGCUAUGAUCUAUAGCUGGUCUGAGAGGACGAUCAGCCACACUGGAACUGAGAUACGGUCCAGACUCCUACGGGAGGCAGCAGUGGGGAAUAUUGGACAAUGGGCGAAAGCCUGAUCCAGCUAUGCCGC
rnacentral:rRNA from 1 species